GGUGGCUCAGCGGUUAAGUGCUUGGCUGCUAACCAAAAGACUGGCGGUUCAAAUCCACCAGCCACUC
rnacentral:tRNA from 1 species